GUCACCAAACCUGGCCUGGCCUAAGCAGGAAGCCACCCAUCACUCCCAGAGCACAAAGCAGGGAUGGGGGGGCAGCUGAACUCCUUUGUGUUACCCCAAAGGUGGGCUAGUCCCCUUCUGAGCAGGGCCCAGCAUUUGAUCUAUCAUUCCCAUCUGGGCCCAAGGCCCCACCGUUUACUUCAGAACCCCAAUUCCUGUCCCGGAUGUUACACUGUGCGUCAGGCCAGCCGUUUUGAUGACUUCUACCUGUCCACCCACAGCCCCUCAGUCUGAGUUGCAAAGCUCCACAAGAGCUUGCUGUUUGGAGGCCACAGCCCGAUACCACCCACUGCUGAGGUUUCUCCAAAAGGCCAUGACCUUUCAGACCGCCUUCUAACUCCUUCUCCUGGAACAACUGUUGCUUUAUUUCCCCUUUUUAUUUUUUGGGUACCAGAGUCCUGGGGAUUGAAUCCACUGAGCUGCAUCUCUAGCCCUUUUUGCAUUUUAUUUUGAGGCAGGGUCUCGCUGAGUUGUCCAGGCUGGCUUCAAAAUUACGAUCCUCCUGCCUCAGCCUCCUCAGUUGCUAGGAUUGUCGGUGUGCGCCACCACGCCUGGCCAAGGAACAAAUGUUUUUCCUCCAUCCAAUGCUCUUGCCCCUCAAGAUCCAUCUUCAACUUUCCCUCCUCCUUGAAGACAUAGCUCCUGAGGGGGUGGGGUCAGCAAGUGACAUGCCAAGUAUGGUUUGUCUCUCUCAAGGAGACUUUAUUCAUUUUAAAAUUUCUUUCUUGCUUGCUGUCUUCCUAGCACAAGGCCGACCCACAGAGGAGACUUAAAUACACACCCCAGGGUUGGACCAGGGAGUUAUAGCUCUCUGGGGCCUUCUGUCAUCAUGGCCCCACCUGCUGGUCACAUUGGGUGUGACACUUAGAAGUGGCCCCAGAACAACUGCACUGGCCACAGCCACCCUCUGGGGAGUAGGGGGGCUUGGGCCUCCCCUGGCUGGGUACCCCUGGUGGCCCCAAGUCUGGCCACCUGCUCAGGACAGGCUUGGAGCUGGCUGGAGAUGCGCCCAGGCAGGCAUCUCUGUGCUGUGGGCUGGAGUCGCUGCCUGGCUGCCUGCCCCGCGGCCAUUAGAGCUGAGUGCCACCCUUGUGUCUUUGAUUAAUAAAGAACGGGGAAGGGAAGUCAUGGUUAUUU
rnacentral:lncRNA from 1 species